AUUGAACGCUGGCGGCAGGCUUAACACAUGCAAGUCGAGCGGGGUGAUGGUGCUUGCACUAUCACUUAGCGGCGGACGGGUGAGUAAUGCUUAGGAAUCUGCCUAUUAGUUGGGGACAACAUAUCGAAAGGGAUGCUAAUACCGCAUACGUCCUACGGGAGAAAGAAGGGGAUCAACUGUGACCUUGCGCUAAUAGAUGAGCCUAGGUCGGGUUAGCUAGUUGGUGGGGUAAAGGCCUACCAAGGCGACGAUCUGUAGCGGGUCGGGGAGGAUGAACCGCCACACUGGGACUGGGGCACGGCCCAGAAUCCGACGGGAGGCAGCAGUGGGGAAAAUUGGACAAUGGGGGGAACCCUGAUCCAGCCAUGCCGCGAGUGUGAAGAAGGCCUUAUGGUUGUAAAGCACUUUAAGCGAGGAGGAGGCUCUUUUGGUUAAUACCCAGAAUGAGUGGACGUUACUCGCAGAAUAAGCACCGGCUAACUCUGUGCCAGCCGCCGCCGUAACAC
rnacentral:rRNA from 1 species